GUGCUCGCUUUGGCAGCACAUACACUAAAAUUGGAAUAAUUCAGAGAAGUUUAGCAUGGUCCCUGUGCAAGGAUGACACACAAAUUCAUGAAGUGUUCCAUAUUUUU
ensembl:snRNA U6 U6 spliceosomal RNA